rnacentral:rRNA from 1 species
CGCCUCUUGAUAAAUUAUAAGAGGUCUAGCCUGCCCAGUGACAUCGUUAAACGGCCGCGGUAUCCUGACCGUGCGAAGGUAGCAUAAUCACUUGUUCUUUAAAUAAGGACUAGUAUCAACGGCAUCACGAGGGUUAUACUGUCUCCUCUCUCCAAUCAGUGAAACUGAUCUCCCCGUGAAGAAGCGGGGAUAAAUAUAUAAGACGAGAAGACCCCAUGGAGCUUUAAACUUAACAACAACUCCCCACCCACAAUUCUUAUUACUGUAGGAGACCUGUUUGUUAGUUUUAGGUUGGGGUGACCGCGGAGAAAAACUAAACCUCCACGACGAACGGAAUUAACUCCUAAUCCAAGAGCUACCGCUCCAAGAAUCAAUAAAUUGACAUAAAAUGAUCCGAUAAUCGAUCAACGGACCAAGUUACCCUGGGGAUAACAGCGCAAUCCAUUUCAAGAGCUCCUAUCGACAAAUGGGUUUACGACCUCGAUGUUGGAUCAGGGUAUCCCAGUGGUGCAGCCGCUACUAAAGGUUUGUUUGUUCAACAAUUAAAACCCUACGUGAUCU